rnacentral:rRNA from 1 species
GAUGAACGCUGGCGGCGUGCCUAAUACAUGCAAGUAGAACGCUGAAGGAGGAGCUUGCUCUUCUGGAUGAGUUGCGAACGGGUGAGUAACGCGUAGGUAACCUGCCUGGUAGCGGGGGAUAACUAUUGGAAACGAUAGCUAAUACCGCAUGACAACAGUUAUUGCAUGAUAACUGUUUAAAAGUGGCAACUGCUCCACUACCAGAUGGACCUGCGUUGUAUUAGCUUGUUGGUGAGGUAACGGCUCACCAAGGCGACGAUACAUAGCCGACCUGGGAGGGGGAGCGGACAAACUGGGAAGGGGACAAGGCCCAGAAGCAUAAGGGAGGAAGCAGUAGGGAAUCUUCGGAAAUGGACGGAAGUCUGACCGAGAAACGCCGCGUGAGUGAAGAAGGUUUUCGGAUCGUAAAGCUCUGUUGUAAGAGAAGAACGAGUGUGAGAGUGGAAAGUUCACACUGUGACGGUAUCUUACAAGAAAGGGACGGCUAACUACGUG